GACGAACGCUGGCGGCGUGCUUAACACAUGCAAGUCGAACGGAAAGGCCCUGCUUUUGUGGGGUGCUCGAGUGGCGAACGGGUGAGUAACACGUGAGUAACCUGCCCUUGACUUUGGGAUAACUUCAGGAAACUGGGGCUAAUGCCGGAUAGGAGCUCCUGCUGCAUGGUGGGGGUUGGAAAGUUUCGGCGGUUGGGAUGGACUCGCGGCUUAUCAGCUUGUUGGUGGGGUAGUGGCUUACCAAGGCUUUGACGGGUAGCCGGCCUGAGAGGGUGACCGGCCACAUUGGGACUGAGAUACGGCCCAGACUCCUACGGGAGGCAGCAGUGGGGAAUAUUGCACAAUGGGCGGAAGCCUGAUGCAGCAACGCCGCGUGCGGGAUGACGGCCUUCGGGUUGUAAACCGCUUUCGCCUGUGACGAAGCGUGAGUGACGGUAAUGGGUAAAGAAGCACCGGCUAACUACGUG
rnacentral:rRNA from 1 species